UGAAAUUACAUUAAUCUAAUCUAUUGCGAUUUCGUAAAACUACGCUCUAAAUCUUUUGUAAAAUAAGAUCAAAUAUAAAGUAUCAAAUCUUUCGUAAAACUUCUGCUUGUUUCAUGCCCCAGCUGUGCUGGUUUUUCUGGGGCAGCGCUGCUGUGCUGCUGUCUUGACAGUCCAGCAGCAGUUGUGACUGUUUUCAGGCGGUUUUGGCUGUGGUAUGGGCUGUUUUCUUCGUAGCUUCGGUUGCUUUUUCGUGGUGGAUGUCGGGAUGCUUGAGGCAUAGCUAUGGAAUUGAAUUUCGGUGGUCCGUACUAGAUUUCAGAGUCAUAGCUUAAGCCAUUUUGGAAUGGUUCUUGGGUGUUUUCUUGGUUUUAUUGUCUUCCAUAGUUCUUCUCGGUUUGGCAUUUGGACGAUGUUACACCUAUAGAUGGUAUCCUUUUUUUUUUUUUUUUCACCGUCUCUUAACGCCUUGCGAGAGUUUUGAAUUAAUAAUAUUUGCCGAUUAAAAAAAUAAUGCACUAAACUAUUUUCAUUC
rnacentral:lncRNA from 1 species